GUGCAUCAAUUCUCAGCCAGGAGGUGUUGGUUCUGCAACUUUAUAAAAGGUAAAACCCUGGACACCACCUUAGAGCACUCGGCCUCCAAACCAGAGAAGUGGCACAAGCAGGACUUGCUGCUCUGUUACCAGACUUGCUCUGAUCUUUAUUCCUAAAAAUGGCACUUUCCUUCCAGCACAGCAGGUUGGGGAGGACAGCAGGGGCAGCAGCUGGACAGGAAAGAGAAUGACAAUUUUACCAGGACAGCCCAAUGACCAUGGUCAUUAGCAUAGGUACAGCUAUAAAUCCUGUUGUUCCCUGCUGCGGUGCAGCAGAAAUGCUGCUGAAGCUGUCCUUGGAGCUCUCGGCACUCUGGACAAAAGGCACCCUCACUUUCCAGCUCUGCACUUGACACACAGUGAAUCUCCUGGCUGACGCACAUGUUCCACAUGGCAGGAAAUAAAAGAAAACUUUCCUUUGCUAGCAUUUUGCAGGCAGAGAACUUUUGUAUUGGAAAGAAAAGGAAAGGCAGAAAGCAAAUUCUUCCAACAUUGCUUGCUUGGAAAAGCUUACAAAUCCUGCUGGCAGAAAGUUUAUAGUCCUCUGCAGAGAUCUCAGCUGGGUGAUUUUUUUUUCUGUCUCUCAAGAAAUACCAUGCAAAUUCUCCUAAAUUACUUGGUAACUACAGAAGAUAUGCUUGGCAAAUACCCUGUCACUACACA